rnacentral:lncRNA from 1 species
GAAGACAGGUUUUUGUCCUUUCCAAGCGUCCCCGCCCCUCCCCCAAUUUUCAAUAAUCCAUUGAGGGGUCUUCAUCCUAUUCCUAAAAAAUGAAAAAUCAAGCAAGCUUUCCUCUCUACUUUCUUCCUUUCUGCUCCACCACCCCUAAAAAAAAACCCUAAAUCAGUCGCGUCACCACCAUAACUGUCACUCUUCUGAGAAGAUUCUCUCGAUAUUUUGCAUGUCCAGCCUAUGAAUUCAAAAGCAAUACAUACCCAAAUUUAUGCAACAACAAACAUUAACUUAAAUCAAUCUUUGAAAUAGCCACGAGAAAAGGUGAUUCUAUUGAUUUGAAAUUUGAAUCUCCCCACCCCCUUUAUUUUGAAGCGUCUUGUUAAAUUUAAGUUUUGAAUCUGGACAUUCAAGUCCGUAUUCACCUAUAAAUAUGGUGUUUUCACCCCCAACCCCCACCCCCAAGGGGGACAGGUUGAAUUUAGGAGGAAAAUAGAGAGAAGAAUCAAAAAAAGGAACCGGGUGAAGGUACAAGGGAGAAAAAUAGUGAAGUCAAGUGUUGGGAAACAAAAAGGGGGCCAAAAAUUGGGGAUCUUUUCAGGGUUUUCAAAAUAGAGAAAAAAAUAAGGCUUCAAAUCAGG